CUUAGCAGAAGAUAGAAAUCAGAAGACAGUGAAAAUUUUAUUUUUGGUCAGUUACGAGUGAGCAAAACAUUGUUUUAUUGUAUUUAUUCUUUUUUUUUUUACCCAAGCAAAUUCCAGAUGUCACAGGACCCCAAAUAAAAGCCUGCGCCUGCGCCAUGCGACUUUUAUUAAGCGGUGGACGUCGAAAGACUCCCAUGACCUGAAAGUAACUCUGGGCCGCUCGAGCGAGUCUCUAGCUGAUUACGGUUACAGACAGCUCCAAUCAGCACUCCAGAUGUGCAGUUCUAUUUGGGUCGCUCUGAGGAGAGGAAGUGCGGGGGUGCAGCCUGUGGCACGGCAGGCUUCAGGGUGAAAAAGCAGCGUCGGAAGGGCGGUGGAGGUGUCCACAUCAAAGCACGAGUGUGUGCAAGGGGGAUGGUGGUCAGGACAGUGUCUGGUGCCUCACGGGGGCGGAAGAAAAAAAAAAUUUAAAUCAUAAACUCACAGGAAUUUCGAUAUAUACUAAGAGAAACAGGCGAAUACUUUUUUUUUUAUUAUGGAAAACAAACACUGGGAGCUACACAGGGAGAUAAUAAAAAAAAAUCUGGCCCUGGCAGAGAGAUCGGAAGUGACUGCAACACUCCUACAUCCGCAUUCCCUUUCGGUCGACUUCCUCCGCCGAGGCACGCCGAGGAUUCUGACUUCCAGCCAAAUCACUCGCUCCCUGCCUGAGCGUCCUGUUCUGACAAACAAAGAAUCAUCGGUCUGGUUGUUCUGACGCAACGAGACGAGCGCACGGGAUGUGAGUCACUUCGGCGGUUAUGUCACUGACCUACUGAGGCGUUUUCGUGCUCCCCAAAAAGAAAAAAAAAACGGGACACUGUGAACCGUAGCGCUAAAAACAGCCUCCGGGAUGGAGGACUCGUCAGCAAGUUUUAUGGAGAGGAUCGAAACACCGGGAAACUUUCCCCUGGUUAAACAAUUCUAAUUAAAACAAAAGGGACAAAGCAGAACAAGGAAAAGCACUUGCAAAGAAAAGUGAGCAUCAAAUUCUCUCUCGAGAAAGAGAGACGUCGAGGCCGUCUUGCAUCAUUGCCGGCGCUACAAAAGCAGAGGCUGGGUGAUGCAACAGGCUCGGAAAAUGUGUCGCCUGAGCACAAAGGAACCCGCCAGCGACUCGGCAGGAGACAGCGGUAAAUCUGAGGUAAAAAAAAAAAAAAAAGGGACAUGGAGACAAAGCUAGCGGAUUCUACAGGAUUGAUGGCUGUAACGACAAAAGUAACAGCGUGGCGUUCGAUCAUGCCACGGCGUGAGGAAACCCGGGGCUGCGAUUCGGAAGAAAAACGUUUACCAAAGGGCUCCCGUAGGAAGGCCGUCCUGAUAAUCCUGUUUCGGUGUUACGGCGUGACGUGCUAAGCCUUGCCUGCUCUUCCCCCCAACUGUACGGAAAUUGAACCCGCAUCGCGGACCGAGGUACGUAGCGUGAAUUAUGGGUACCGCUACAACACCCUAGAGUACGGUACCAUAAGUUUACAUUUGAGCGACGUACAAAAUGGCUCUUGUUUCGCUAAAUUGUAAAAUGUACUGUCAUUUAUGACAUUAUCAUCAAUUUACAGUAUGGCCGUGUUUUGAUGGUUUUUUAAGUUAUGACGGAGUCAUCUGAGUCACGUCUCCUAGUAAUCCUUAGACAUUUUUAACGCCGAAUUACGUCAAAAUAGGGAAUAAAGGCAUGAAGUAGAGGUUAGGGGAGACAAUACAGGAUUUGCACAGAAUUUGGAAGAAAAAAAACGGAAGUCGUUUAAUCGCCAAUGCAAUGUGGAAUGUCUUGGAUUUGGACAUAUCAGACUGGUCAAGAAAGCAUUCAUGUAUUGUGUGAGAAGGAGAGUAGGAAUGAAACCAACAGCUUGUCCAAGUCAUCAUUGCUGAUGGAACGUAAACCAAGCGGUGCCCAAGGUCAGACUCUGUCACUCGAGUCAAACACACAGACCCCUUGUUAAGGAGAGGUGUAAGGUUUCGACCGUCGCCACGAGAGUUUGUGAAACCAGAGUACGAAGCCCCAGCAGAACCUGACAAUGGCCUCACAAGCGCAUCCAUCACGAUCUUGUUGGAAAAAAAAAAAGCCACAGACACCAGCUUGAUGUAUGGCUGCCCCUACGGGCUAAAUCCGGCUUUGUCCUCACUGACGUCCCUCAAAAAAAAAAAAAAAAAAGGGGCUCACUCAUCAGACGGCUGAAGAGCAGGAAGUGUAAGAGGGCAGAAAAGAUAACAGCAGAUUUUCUUCUGAGAUCCAGACGGCCUGAAACUAUUUACAUUGCUUGAGUUAAUGAGAGGAGGAAGUGCUGCGAAGGAAGCAGACCAUCAGUGGCACGGUAGCUGUGGACUUCCUGCUGCAGCCUUCACGCUGUGGGCGAGCGUCGAUCAUUCCGGGCAGGUUCGACAACGCGGGGUCAAGAGAUACAUUUCAAACAAUGCACACACCACUUCCGGUACAAGAAGUCAGAUUUCCUGCCGAGUGAGAAUUGUUAUAGAACUGGUACGCAUUUCUUGCAUGGUAACCGUAGCAACUGCAACUCCUUGCUUUUUUUUUCCACUCGUUCGUGGACUUUUUUCCAGCAAAAUCACAUGUAAGCUGCAACAAAGCGACUGGAGAGCCUUCGUUGUUUUUCAAAUGAAAGCUGGUCAUUUCUCUGUGACGGUGUGGACAUGUCCAGCGACGCAACAACUUUAAGAACUUUUCUUUUUUAAUGCAAAUACAGAGCAACUCCAGAAACUACCAGUAGUCCAUCUUAUUUGUGGAAUGCCAAUUGCUUCACCUGCUGAUAAAAGUAACCACUAUAAAGGACUUUAGGCAGAGAACCGUGUAUUUGAUAUUCCUCCAAAUUAAGCUAAAUAGGGACUAAAGGCAGGAAAGUAACGGUUUUGGGGGGAAACAAUGGAAACCUGUCUCAGGAUUUGC